AUGCUUUGGUAGUACAUUUAAUAAAGUGGUAAUUGUACAGAGAUGAUUAGCUUGGCCCUUGCAUCAGGAUAAUGUGUGAAAUCCUGAAGCUUUCUGCACAUUU